GAUGAACGCUGGCGGCGUGCCUAAUACAUGCAAGUCGAGCGAACGGACGAGAAGCUUGCUUCUCUGAUGUUAGCGGCGGACGGGUGAGUAACACGUGGAUAACCUACCUAUAAGACUGGGAUAACUUCGGGAAACCGGAGCUAAUACCGGAUAAUAUUUUGAACCGCAUGGUUCAAAAGUGAAAGACGGUCUUGCUGUCACUUAUAGAUGGAUCCGCGCUGCAUUAGCUAGUUGGUAAGGUAACGGCUUACCAAGGCAACGAUGCAUAGCCGACCUGAGAGGGUGAUCGGCCACACUAGAACGGAGACACGGUCCAGACUACUACGGGAGGCAGCAGUAGGGAAUCUUCCGCAAUGGGCGAAAGCCUGACGGAGCAACGCCGCGUGAGUGAUGAAGGUCUUCGGAUCGUAAAACUCUGUUAUUAGGGAAGAACAGAUGUGUAAGUAACUGUGCACAUCUUGACGGUACCUAAUCAGAAAGCCACGGCUAACUACGUG
rnacentral:rRNA from 1 species